GAUGAACGCUGGCGGCGUGCCUAAUACAUGCAAGUCGAACGAAUCUUCUUCGGAAGAUGAGUGGCGAACGGGUGAGUAAUACAUAGGUAACCUGACCCUGUGCGGGGGAUAACAGGAGGAAACUCCUGCUAAUACCGCAUAGCCAUGAGCACCGCAUGGAGCCCAUGCCAAAUAUCCUUUCGGGGAUAGCGCAGGGAUGGACCUAUGGCGCAUUAGCUGGUUGGCGGGGCAACGGCCCACCAAGGCAACGAUGCGUAGCCGGCCUGAGAGGGCGGACGGGCACAUUGGGACUGAGACACGGCCCAGACUCCUACGGGAGGCAGCAGUAGGGAAUUUUCGGCAAUGGGGGAAACCCUGACCGGGCAACGCCGCGUGAGCGAAGAAGGCCUUCGGGUCGUAAAGCUCUGUUGUAAAGGAAGAACGGCGCAUACAGGAAAUGGUAUGCGAGUGACGGUACUUUACCAGAAAGCCACGGCUAACUACGUGCCAGCCGCCGCCGUAA
rnacentral:rRNA from 1 species